CUACGGGGAGGCAGCAGUAGGGAAUCUUCCACAAUGGACGCAAGUCUGAUGGAGCAACGCCGCGUGAGUGAAGAAGGUUUUCGGAUCGUAAAGCUCUGUUGUUGGUGAAGAAGGAUAGAGGUAGUAACUGGCCUUUAUUUGACGGUAAUCAACCAGAAAGUCACGGCUAACUACGUGCCAGCAGCCGCGGUAAUACGUAGGUGGCAAGCGUUGUCCGGAUUUAUUGGGCGUAAAGCGAGCGCAGGCGGAAGAAUAAGUCUGAUGUGAAAGCCCUCGGCUUAACCGAGGAACUGCAUCGGAAACUGUUUUUCUUGAGUGCAGAAGAGGAGAGUGGAACUCCAUGUGUAGCGGUGGAAUGCGUAGAUAUAUGGAAGAACACCAGUGGCGAAGGCGACUCUCUGGUCUGCAACUGACGCUGAGGCUCGAAAGCAUGGGUAGCGAACAGGAUUAGAUACCUUGGGUAGU
rnacentral:rRNA from 1 species